rnacentral:rRNA from 1 species
UGAGUAAUGUCUGGGAAACUGCCCGAUGGAGGGGGAUAACUACUGGAAACGGUAGCUAAUACCGCACAACGUCUCAAGACCAAAGAGGGGGACCUUCUGACCUCUUGCCAUCAGAUGUGCCCAGAUGGGAUUACCUAGUAGGUGGGGUAACGGCUCACCUAGGCGACGAUCCCUAGCUGGUCUGAGAGGAUGACCAGCCACACUGGAACUGAGACACGGCCCAGACUCCUACGGGAGGCAGCGGUGGGGAAUAUUGCACAAUGGGCGCAAGCCUGAUGCAACCCUGCCGCGUGUAUGAAGAAAGCCUUCCGGUUGUAAAGUACUUUCAGCGGGGAGGAAGGCGAUACGGUUAAUAACCGUGUCGAUUGACUUUACCCGCAGAAUAAGCACCGGCUAACUCCGUGCCAGCAGCCGC